UACGUAGGUGGCAAGCGUUGUCCGGAAUUAUUGGGCGUAGAGCGCGCGCAGGCGGUCUUUUAAGUCUGAUGUGAAAUCUCGCGGCUCAACCGCGAGCGGCCAUUGGAAACUGGAGGACUUGAGUACAGAAGAGGAGAGUGGAAUUCCACGUGUAGCGGUGAAAUGCGUAGAGAUGUGGAGGAACACCGGUGGCGAAGGCGACUCUCUGGUCUGUAACUGACACUGAGGCGCGAAAGCGUGGGGAGCGAACAGG
rnacentral:misc_RNA from 1 species